CCUACGGGGAGCUGCAGUGGGGAAUAUUGGACAAUGGGCGAAAGCCUGAUCCAGCCAUGCCGCGUGUGUGAAGAAGGCCUUCGGGUUGUAAAGCACUUUCAGUGGGGAAGAAAGCCUUGGGGCUAAUACCCUCGAGGAAGGACAUCACCCACAGAAGAAGCACCGGCUAACUCCGUGCCAGCAGCCGCGGUAAUACGGAGGGUGCGAGCGUUAAUCGGAAUUACUGGGCGUAAAGCGCGCGUAGGCGGUCUGAUAAGCCGGUUGUGAAAGCCCCGGGCUCAACCUGGGAACGGCAUCCGGAACUGUCAGGCUAGAGUGCAGGAGAGGAAGGUAGAAUUCCCGGUGUAGCGGUGAAAUGCGUAGAGAUCGGGAGGAAUACCAGUGGCGAAGGCGGCCUUCUGGACUGACACUGACGCUGAGGUGCGAAAGCGUGGGUAGCAAACAGGAUUAGAUACCCCAGUAGUC
rnacentral:rRNA from 1 species